GAUGAAGAACGUAGCGAAAUGCGAUAAGUAGUGAAUUGCAGAAUUCAGUGAAUCAUCGAAUCUUUGAACGCACAUUGCGCCCCUUGGUAUUCCAUGGGGCAUGCCUGUUCGAGCGUCAUUUGUACCUUCAAGCUCUGCUUGGUGUUGGGUGUUUGUCUCGCCUCUGCGUGUAGACUCGCCUCAAAACAAUUGGCAGCCGGCGUAUUGAUUUCGGAGCGCAGUACAUCUCGCGCUUUGCACUCAUAACGACGACGUCCAAAAGUACAUUUUUACACUCUUGACCUCGGAUCAGGUAGGGAUACCCGCUGAACUUAAGCAUAUCAAUAAGCGGAGGA
rnacentral:misc_RNA from 1 species